UCCCUGGUGGUCCAGUGGUUAAGACUAUACACUUUCAGUUUAUAGGGUACGGGUUUGAUCCCUGGUCUGGGAA
rnacentral:tRNA from 1 species